UGAUUGUCUACGCGUAAUGAUCUUAAUAUUUGCAGAUCUUUUGAUGUUAAGGUCAAAAGAUCUGCACAUAUUAAGAUCAUUACGCGUAGACAAUCACACAAUUUUCCACAAAAGCAAGCCCCAUGGUGCUCUGUUUUAUUAACAUGCAUAUCAUAUUCAUUUAUUACAUGAUGGCAUAGAUAGAUGAAACAUCAUUGAGCAUCAUCAUUAUACUCUUCAUUUUUAUCGUUCCCCCAUUUUAUUGAUAUGUAUAUUUGAUACUCUUCUCCUUUAAUCGCGUCUCCAAUUCCCUUACACCGGGGUAUAUUGAAUCCUGAUUUUGCCAGCAUUAGGAUCUGCAAUCUGGGAGAAAGCUUCCUUGGAUAGAUCAAUAGUUCCUUUGCAACCUGGUGGACAGUAAUCAACUAUUGUUACGACAACGCUUGCACUAGUGCAAGGCUGGGGUACCCCUUGGUUUGUGGCUCCAGUGCAUGUGACCCUGUA
rnacentral:misc_RNA from 1 species